rnacentral:rRNA from 1 species
GACAGAGGUGCCAAGCGUUAGGCGGAAUCACUGGGCUUAAAGCGCGUGUAGGCGGGUCGUUAAGUGUCCGCGUGAAAUCCCACGGCUCAACCGUGGAACUGCCGGGCAUACUGGCGACCUUGAGGCACUAAGGGGCGAGCGGAACAAAUGGUGGAGCGGUGAAAUGCGUAGAUAUCAGGAGGAACACCUGUGGUGUAGACAGCUUACUGGACCACUUCUGACGCUGAGACACGAAAGCGUGGGUAGCAAACAGG